GCUAACCGCAAGGAGGCAGCUAACCACGGUAGGGUCAGCGACUGGGGUGAAGUCGUAACAAGGUAGCCGUAGGGGAACCUGCGGCUGGAUCACCUCCUUUCUAAGG
rnacentral:rRNA from 1 species